rnacentral:rRNA from 1 species
GGGGAGGGGCGGCUAUAAUGCAGUCGAGCGGAUCUUCAUUAGCUUGCUUUUGAAGAUCAGCGGCGGACGGGUGAGUAACACGUGGGCAACCUGCCUGUAAGACUGGGAUAACUUCGGGAAACCGGAGCUAAUACCGGAUAAUCCUUUCCCUCACAUGAGGGAAAGCUGAAAGACGGUUUCGGCUGUCACUUACAGAUGGGCCCGCGGCGCAUUAGCUAGUUGGUGAGGUAAUGGCUCACCAAGGCAACGAUGCGUAGCCGACCUGAGAGGGUGAUCGGCCACACUGGGACUGAGACACGGCCCAGACUCCUACGGGAGGCAGCAGUAGGGAAUCUUCCGCAAUGGACGAAAGUCUGACGGAGCAACGCCGCGUGAGCGAUGAAGGCCUUCGGGUCGUAAAGCUCUGUUGUCAGGGAAGAACAAGUAUCGGAGUAACUGCCGGUACCUUGACGGUACCUGACCAGAAAGCCACGGCUAACUACGUGCCAGCAGCCGCGGUAAUACGUAGGUGGCAAGCGUUGUCCGGAAUUAUUGGGCGUAAAGCGCGCGCAGGCGGUUCCUUAAGUCUGAUGUGAAAGCCCCCGGCUCAACCGGGGAGGGUCAUUGGAAACUGGGGAACUUGAGUGCAGAAGAGGAGAGCGGAAUUCCACGUGUAGCGGUGAAAUGCGUAGAGAUGUGGAGGAACACCAGUGGCGAAGGCGGCUCUCUGGUCUGUAACUGACGCUGAGGCGCGAAAGCGUGGGGAGCGAACAGGAUUAGAUACCCUGGUAGUCCACGCCGUAAACGAUGAGUGCUAAGUGUUAGAGGGUUUCCGCCCUUUAGUGCUGCAGCAAACGCAUUAAGCACUCCG